rnacentral:sRNA from 1 species
UUCGCGUUAAGGAUAGUAGUGGAAAUCCUUUUUUUUACUGAACUGGUUUCAGUAUCUCUUUUAAAAGAGCAGAAAGCUUAAGUAGAAAGAUGCUGAAAUUAAUUCAGCACAAGAAAAAAGAUUGAAACGGAUAGCCUGUUAAAAC